GUAUUGUGCCAAGGUUCACUGGCUAAGGGUAUGUGCUGGAACCGCGACCAUCGCUUAGUUUACUGUGAAGAAAAGGCAUCGAGUUUCUCUGAACAUUGAGUGUAGCUUAGUCAGUGUGGUAACCCGGGUCAGAGUACAUUCAGGAUAUGAUAUGCGUACGGUUUUUCAGUGUCUCAUAGUUUGUGGGCUGUCUCUGUAUCAUGUCAUCUACAACCAGCAAAUCACACUAGUUUGUAGGGCUAAUUGGGAAUUGAAAACUACUAGAAUUUUUUUUGUACAUGGUUGGGCUACAUAGCCUAUACUGCUACAACUUGAAUGCACGCGUGAACUUAAUCAAAUAAGUAAAUAAUUAAAUUAAAGAAAAUCAUGUUCGACAAAGUUAACAUGUCUGGUUUGAAUUAGUUUAAUUACAUAUAACAAAAUAUUGCAGCAAUAGUAUAUUACAGUGUUAAACAGUGUAUACAUUGCAGACAUUCAAGUCACUGUAGAGCAUACUAUCAUGCAUUAUUUGGAAGGAAAAUCACCAUGAGAAAAUAUGAGAAAGGCUUGUUGUUUUAAAGUAACAGAAUAACACCAAAUACAACGAAAAAGGACCCCAGUGCUGUGUCGCAUGGCAAAAGUCGCCUGUUGUAUGACCCGCAAAAAGGCUAUGGUGAGGAAAAUUAUGGAUUUUCUUUUUGUUUGAAAACUCUCUUCUUUUAAAAUUAAAAAUGGUAUGAAUGAUAAUCUUUGGUCAUAACCAUUAGAUAAACGUACUUGCCUGAUUAGUUUACUUCGGUAAUGAUGAAAUGUUGUUUGCUUUUUAUGAAUACAUCAAUGUGGGUUGAGGCCUGUAGUCUAUAUGUUUAGAAUUCUUCAGAUAUGUUGGUUCACCUUAAACCUAUACACGAUUAAAACAUUUAUUAUUUUAACUUUAUUUUGUUAUUAGACAUAAAUUGGGGUAACUUUGAAAUGCUAUAUUAUUGUAUUGAAAUGGUUCUUUCUUGUAGGGUCAUUUUGAAUAGGCUUCAGGUGCGUUCUAAGUUGGAUCAACUGGUGUCACUACCAGGGAAUUAUCACUUCUUGGUGACCAUUAACCUUGCAACUAAAGUGCAGUCACAUAAUUUUAUUAAAGCUCUAUCCAUCUUUAUACUGAGCAGCUGCAUAAAUGCCUUUCAAACGAAUUGGUCUUUCAUGUAAGCACCUGAACGAAAUGUUCCAAAAGAGCCAAUAGCCACAAUGCAGGUGAACAGGUAUUGGUGGUGACAUGGAUGCUUUUUAACACUAAAGAUUUCAGCGAGGAAUAUACCGUCUGGUAUAGGGGCUAUUUGCAGUAUAUCUGCUGUUGUUUAUAGAAUAGCUCACAUACAAUUAAGUAAAGGAUUCUAAUGAAGAACUACGUCACAUUUUGUGCAAAUCACCUCUGCCUUGCCCCUCCCACAGCUAAGCCAAACUACAUUGUAUUGUUUUAUAUUGAGAAAAUCCCCUAGGUUUGCAACACUUUUAUUACCUAUUGGAAACCUCUUGUGUAGUUAUUGACUUCCUGAUGUUGGGGUAUUAUAAAGACUAAUGAAUUUAAAGGAUCCCCACGGCUGAUAAUCAUUGGAUAUCUCUCACUCUUUCUCUCAAACACGCGCGUGUACACACAUAAACGUCAAAUACUGACUUGAGCUGUGAGAUCACGUUCCACACACAUACACACCUGUAUUGCUUUUUUUUGUCCAAUUGUGAGAAUUGUCGCUAAAAAUAUAUCCCUGAAGUACGCUAUUAUCCGCAUAUAAAUAGGCUAUGAGUAAUAGCACUGUCAUACAGUCUAGGAAAAAAAUGUGCGCAUGGACAUAUGGUUAACAGUUAGCUCACUAUCGCUGCACGUUUCUGUUUUCCUACUAGUUGUGGUAAAUAUUAACCUAUAAGUACUGAAUGUUUAAUAACCAACAUGGGCAUGAUGAAACGUUUUGUGUGUCCCUGCAGAAAAAUGUACGCAUAUUUCAUAAUGCGACAUCGCGAGUUUAGCCUACCUGGAAACCACAGUAGCUUAUACAUCUCGACGAUGAAAAAAAACAAAGUUAAUUGGAAUUCGACUCAAAUCGAGACAAUUAAAGUGUCUCGCAUUGUCCCUCACUCUCGGUUCAAACCGGCCCAGUUCCGUGCUUACAGCAAAGACCCUACUCGGUUUUAUCUGUGAGAGAAUACAGUCACGAUGCUCUACCCAGCCCUGGAAUGCUGCCAUAAUAUCCUCCAUAGAUAUGAGCCCUUGUAUUUGGUGGUUUAAUCGGCUGGAGUUUAUACCUUUACUGGAUUCAAACAGGAUCAAGACGACCGUUCGCACCACAGAACAAUCAUUUUCUACUUCUGUCCUUUUUUAUAAUUCUGGAAAGCGCGUGCAGACUGCUAGCGGAAAACUGAAUUAUUCCGGUGCACUUGGUAAUGACGCGAGGAGAUUUGCCACUCGCUCGUGCAUGAAUAGGAGCGUGCAUUUGCGAUUUUUCAUGACAUCAUCAUCAUCAUUACUUUACACUCCCGCGGUCUGAGGCCUUUGACCUCGCCGGGUUGGUCCAGAUUUUGGCAUCGGAAACCUACCCCUCCUUCUCAUUUUCCCCUUUCCUUGGGGAUGGCCCUUUUCCCACUCCUUUCAGACCGUUGGUAGCAGCUAGCCAACAGAACGGAACCCUUGGCUAAGAGACCUCGGCAUCUCUUUUCUCCAACAUGCUGGAUACAAUCGGACAACUUGACAUUUUUGGCAAUCCAACGAGGUCCUGUCUCCAUAAUCCAAAACAAUCGCUACGUUUUAGGCUACCUGUGUCAUUUUCGCACUUUCGCCAGGAAGCGGAUUUUCCAGCUCCGUAUCUUCUUCGCUGUCCUCGCAGGAUAUCCAUUGCUUCUGCCACAACGACUUAAUAGAGGCGAAAGAGCCUUUUGUGGGAUUGAAUUGAUUUGAAUUGCAAAUCGGGGCCUGUGCAACGAUGGCUGCAUCACACUGUUUUCUCUGAGUAUAACUCACUAAUGUUGGGGUUGGUGAGAUUUUGCCCUGGACCUGCUUCUGCGGGAGAGAUGACCAAUGGCAAUGUCUGGGACUACUGCUGAACCAUGAGGUGGGAAGGCCACUGGGCUGUCAGAGAAGGCGGACAAUUGGCUGUUCCUCACACAGGCAGGUUUAAGCACAGGCGAGAGAGGAGUCAUCUGCCAUCAGACAGACUGAAAGAAAGACCGUAACGACGGAUCAGCUCGUGUGUUAUUUAGGAUCCCUGCAGAUCGUAGAGGUGGCCAAUCUACUUGGGUUCCCCUUUUCUGUUGUCUCUCGUGGAGGGAGAGAGAACAUCAGCUUACACAUCCAUUGAGAUGCAGUCUGCAGAUGGAGACGUUCCAGAAAACAACUAUUUAUUAUCAGCCUCCACACACCUGUUGAACAUGCACAGAAACCUCAAAACAUGCACUCCCAUUGUUUAAACCGAGGGUUUUUAUUUUUGCUUUGUGAUUUAAAUGUGUAUUUUGUGAAUUCUUAAGAAUCUGUAUAGUGCAACAUCAUUCUGUUAUUCUGAUUUGUAAAAGUCUGUCUUCAGGAUUCAGGAUUUACAAUGAACUGGUAUGUCAAAAUGGAUCCUGCAGAUCAUUUCAUCUCUAUCAACAUUUAUUAAAUUAAUUAAAAUGAUAAACCAUAAAGGGAAUAUGUCCACUGUAAGAACCACUUACACCACUGUACAUUUUCUAAAUGAACGGAAUAAAAAAUAUUCACUAAGAUCUUUUUUUGUUUCGGAGCUUUUUGAGGAUUAUUAAUUUCCCGCUAGAUUAACAGCAUGUUUAAAAUAUUUCUGCGGUGUGUUCCUUGGGCAGGAUUCACUUCUCUGUGGGUGCUAAAUCCUGGCACAGCCAGAAGAGGACUGGUCACCCCUCUGAGCCUGGGUCCUCUCUAAGUUUCUUCCUAAAUUGUGGCAUUCUUAGGGAGUUUUUCCUAGCCACUGAAAUUCAACACUACUGUUGUUUGCUC
ensembl:lncRNA